UACAUAGCUCAGCUGGUUAGAGCGUGGUGCUGAUAACACCAAGGUUGCAGGUUCAAGCUCCAUAUGGGACAG